GUGUGAGUGGAGCAGGUUCUGCCACAAUGUGUAUUUUUAAGAAUAACUAUGCCCUUUACAUUUUGCACUUUGGACUAUUUUUAUGUUGGUUACAGGCAUGUAACACAGAGGACCCACAAUCCAUUGGGUACUUUAAAGGAGACUUUACACAACAGUGCCCCUCACCUAUAGAACACUUAUAUUUUUUGAUUGAGCCAGUUAACAAGGUUGACGUUACAAAGGCAACAUAUAGCUGUCCUCUCUGUGUUUAUUUGCUACUGAUUUGUGACUUCUCCCAAGUGUAGCAGUAGCUCUUUUUUUUUGUUUUGUUUUUUUAAUUGAAAUGCUUUUUGUCUCAAUUUUUACAUGAAAUACUAACAAUAAGUCACUUAAUUUUUGUGGUGUGAUAAAAUAUAAAGCUAUAUAACUCAAACUGAGAGAAUUACUAACAGCAUAAUACAAACCAUCAUGGAACCUACAAUAGCAUUUGCUGUCAACAAACGGAAAACACACAAACCCGGAGAAAGCAGUGAGUGACAGAACAAAUGAUUGACAUAACAGCAUGUCCAGGGUCUAUAGGUGAGAGCUGAUAGUUUUGUUGGACACAGCGUAAUGGUCAGUGGCGUACUAAGGGGGGGUGGAGGGGGCGGUCCGUCCCGGGUGCCACCAGGGUGGGUGGUGCCAUGACCCUGGUCUGGGAGCUGGAGGGGGCUGUGUGAGCUGUACGGCAGUUUAACAUGGCCCUUACCCGCUGCUGUUAGGAGGUGCAGCAAGAUGGAAUACCUGCUUCUCCACAGGCUUCAGGGAAUACAGUCCUCCUCCAGCCCACUGUCUGUAAGUAAGCGUGUGUGUGUUUUAAAAGGUCUGCCUGUAACUGUGUGUGACUGUGUGUAACUGUCUGCCUGUAACUUUGUGUCUGUGUGUAACUGUAUGCCUGUAACUCUCUGUGUGUGUGUGUAACUGUCUGCCUGUAACUUUGUGUGUUUAUGUGUGUGUGUGUGUGUGUGUGACUCUCUGCCUGUGACUGUAUAUGUGACUGUCUGGCUAUGAUUGUGUGUGUGUAACUGUCUGCCUAUAACUGUGUGUGUGACUGCAUGUGACUAUGUAUGUGUGACUGUCUGCCUGUGACUGUUUGAUGUUGCCUGUAACCGUGUGUGACUGUCUGCUGCUGUCGUGUGUCAAUGUAUAUGUGACUGUCUGCUGCUGUCGUGUGUGUGUGUGUGUGUGUGUCAAUGUAUAUGUGACUGUCUGUAACUGUGUGCAUGACUGUCUGUGACUGCAUGUGUGACUGUGUGCGUGUGACUGUCUGCCUGUAAAUGUGUGUGUGUGUGUGUGUGUGUGUGUGUGGCUGCAGGGAUUUUGUAGAAGGGGGCAAGGGUUUUGUAUUGGGACAGGAG